rnacentral:snoRNA from 1 species
UCUCUGUGAUGAUGAAAACAGAUGGCGAGUCUGAUAUAAUCCAUUCUAUCAAACCAUGUGGACAAUCGAGGCAUUUGUCUGAGAGUC